rnacentral:rRNA from 1 species
UUCUGGCUCAGAACGAACGCUGGUAGCGUGGAUUAGGCAUGCAAGUCGAACGGGAUCGUCCGGUUAGCAAUAAUUGGGCGUGAGAGUGGCGGAUUGGGGAGGAACACGUGAGCAACCUGCCUUGAGUGGGGGAAAACCGUUGGAAACGACGGCUAAUACCGCAUGUGGCGCCUGGCGACAUCGCCGGAGCGCCAAAGGGGGCCGCAAGGCUCUCGCUCGUAGAGGGGCUCGCGCACCAUCAGCUUGUUGGCGGGGUAACGGCCCACCAAGGCCUACGGUUAGCUGGUCUGAGAGGAUGACCAGCCCCACUGGGACUGAGAUACUGCCCAGACUCCUACGGGAGGCUGCAGUCGAGGAUCAUUUGCAAUGGGCGAAAGCCUGACAAUGCGACGCUGCCGUGGAGGAUGAAGGCCUUCGGGUUGUAAACUCCUGUCAUGGGGGAACAGGCGAGGGGACCCAACACGUCCCUUAGUUGAGUGUACCCCAAGAGGAAGGGACGGCUAACUCUGUGCCAGCCGCGGC